ensembl:lncRNA
UCAGCAAUGGGGAUUGUUCUGCCACAUCGUGCUGCUUAAGUCUGGGAGCCAGGGUGGGAGGUACUGGGUUACAAGAAGGGAACAGGUGUGAGGGGUGACAACAUACUCAUUCAGCUUUGGACUCGUGCCUGUGGGGGUCCUGUAGGAGAUCUUGCGGACCUGUGCAGUGGGCCGUCGGAAAGGCAAGCCUGACCCUUUCAAGAGAGGUCAGGCCUGGAGACCAAGGGUGAGGCCCCUCCAUAAAGAGAAGGUGGUUGAAGCCCAUGGAUUAGAUGCUUGUGAAGAGCACAGAGUGGGAAGAGAAAGGAGCAGUGACAGAACCAUGAGAAGCACAAUAGAGGGCGGGGAGAGGCAGACCUGACAUGGGGCAGACUCAAAUCCCGCCCUCAUGGACCUUACAGAGCUGCCACAAGCAUUCGUAAUUCUUAUCUAAGCAGACAGGGUCAAGUGACUAAGAGAGGACCAAGGACCUCAUUUCCAGGAGUGAGGCCAGGAAGACUCCAUGAAGGAGGGUGUUUUAACCAGGCUUUGGACCAAGCGCGGGAUGAGGACUGGCAAGAGAUGGUUAGACACACAAAGGCAAGGAGGCUUCAGGAUGUCUGGGAAACUGUGAGAAGUUGGUUAAUAUCUGGUCAGAGGUACUCACAGAAUAAUGCAGAAUUGGAUUAGAAUUCAAAAGCAUUUAAAAAAAUGUGUGAGCCACAGAAUGAAGUUUAGGGAGACUCAAAACUGUGUACUAUUGCUGCAGACACUGAGGCAGAUUAGUGUGCAGGACGACUGUUUCGGAGAGGUGCUGAAGGAAACGCCUGGAGAAGGGGAGAGAAGGAAGCAGGAUUAGGCGUAGGAGAGGUUGGGAGGUGCUGAGGUCUCACUAGUGGCCUCAGGUGACCUCAUGGGGAGCUCGGGAGCUUGGUCAGCCCUGCAGAGCAGUUCCGCACUGGGAAGUCUAGUGGGUUGAAUAGUGGCCCCCAAAAUAUAUGUCCAAGUCCUAACCCUCGGUACCUGUGACUGUGACUUUAUUUGCAUGUAAUUAAGUUAAGCAUCCUGGGGUGUGAUCAGCCUGUGUUUAGGGUGAGCCAAAUCUAAUGACCAGCAUCUUCAUGGGAGAAAGGAGAGGGAGAUUCCACACUCAGACACACAUGGGAGUGGGCCGUGUGAAGACAGGAGCAGAGACUGGGGUGACGCCUCUACAAGCAGAGGCAGCCAAGGAUUGCCUCAGCCACCAGAAACCAGGAGAGAGGCACGGAACAGGCUCUUCCCCAGAGGCUCCAGAAGGAACCAGCCUGCUGAUUUCAGGCUUCCACCUCCAGAAUGGCGAAAGAAUACAUUCUAUUGUUUUCAGCUGCCCAGUUUGUGGUAAUCUGUUUUGGCAGCCUUAGGAAAUGAAUACAGGAGGCCAGGCCUUUUUACCCAGUACGAUCUGUCGUUGGAUGUGGGCUGCCCCGGAAGGAAGCACGAUCCUGGGCGAGCCAGUUUUCUUCAGCAGAGGUGAUCCCCAAAGAGAGCUGACAGCUGAGCACCCUUGUCUGGCAGCACUCCCAGCAGCCUGGGGAAUAAGUUCUCCCUUCCUGAAGGGGGUCUGGAUGACGCAUGACAGCAGCUACUUCUCUGUCCUUCAGUUUCCCCAUCUGCAUAAUGGGAAUAACAAUAAGACCUAUCUUGUAUGGUUGCUAGGAGACAAAAUUAGGUGGGAAUACCCAUGGCUAACAUUUAUUGAGCGCUUACUUUAUAUCUGUCAGGCACACCUGUCCAGAAGUUCAUACUUGUAUGUUGCCCUGCAUAUGGUAAGCACCCAGGAAACAGUAGCUAUUAUCAGAGGGGAGGUGUUCAAGGUCACACAGCUGCCAGAGCCAAGAUCGGAACCCAGAUUUCCUGACUCUCAGGCAAAUGUCCCUUCUUUGAUAAUAGAUCCCCUCUCUGCAUGGGCCUAAUCGUGUCUUCUUUUCAUGACACUAAUAGUGUUUUUAUGCAAUGAAGCAAAAUUUGUGUUUCACAAAAGAAAUGUCAUUUUGCCUUGUCAUCUGAAGGGAAGAGCUUUGAGUUGUCUGAAAUUCAUUCGCACUCUCCGAGCCUCUAGACUUUAUAUGACCAAAGACAUUAAUUUGUGAGACAGGCUGGGGUGGGAGGGGCGGCUGGGUCUGGGCAUGGGUCCCUGCUGCCUACAGCUAAUUGGCUUCACAGGCUCCACAUCCCAGCAUCUGCUGACAGGGCAUUCCUGAGACUGGGGAGAGGCCAGACACUAUCGUUUGAAAGAGGACAAAGUGAAGGACAGAGAGAUUAGCCGAUUUGCCCUCUUAAUUAUGUGGUGAGCUGGAGAUGGAGCCAAGAAUUGAAUCCAGAUUUCUCAAGUCCCAGAUGGGUUUUUUCAUCAGAGGUCCUGCCACAUUCCUUCUCUUGGAACUGCCCCCUCUCUGGAUCCCAGAAACACAUACCUGGGUUGAGUUUGGGGGCGUGUGAUUGUGUGUUACUGCUCCCUUCACAUUAUACGAAUUCUUAAAAAGAAAGAAAGAAAAAGCUCUUACCCUUAGAAAACGGUCACUUACUUGAGACUAGCAUAGAUGAUAUAUAGAUUGCUGAAAUGCUCUUAACCACAUCUAUUUUUCGAGAAUUUUGGCUUGGCAUGUCCAGCACCCUAACAGAGCGCUCUUCAAUUUGACCCGUGCAUUUCUUUCCAGAAGAAUUUGCAUAUAGAAGCAUUAUACAAGUUAUUAAUGUUAAAAGGAAUUUUCUCCUCUAUUCAAAAAUUCGAGAUAAAAUUCACAUUGACACAGUCUGGGACUACAAAUGAGCAGUGGCUAUCCAAAAAUUUCCAUAUGCAAACUUCCCCACACAGAGGGCACUUUAGGAACAACACUGUGGGCUUUUACCACUAGAGGGCUUGACCUAAAUUACACACUUAAAAAGAUUGUUCCAAGGGACUGGCCCAGCAGAGCGGUUAACUUCAUGCUCUCCACUGCAGUGGCCUGGGGCUCACUGGUUUGCAUCCUGGGUUUGGACCAGUGCACUGCUUAUCAAGUCAUGCUGUGGCAGGAGUCUCACAUAUAAAAUAGAGGAAGGUGGACACAGAUGUUAGCUCAUGGCUAAUCUUCCUCAAAAAAAAAAAAAAAAAAUUGUUCCAAAUACAGUUGUCACACAUUUCCAGAUUUUCAGGUAGUUAACUUCCCAACAAGGUAACUUGCCACAGAUUCCUGUUACUGUUGGCUUUAGAUACAUACAUAUCCCUGUGAUGUGCUCCCCUCCUCCAACCAAAUUCUAUAUUUUAAAAGUAUCAAUGAUACAAGAAAUAAACCAGUUUGCUGACUUUGAUCUAACUGGUUACUGGCCACACUGUUUUGGUGACUCUUUCUGUGAAACUGCCAAGCUAAAUGCCAUCUCGUGAGGCUGCUGGGCGAUCAUCCUGCUUGGCCUCCCCUGUCAGCUCCUUUGCCCCAGCCUGGAUCUUCUCGGGAAACAGAUUUCUCUUUGUGUCUUCCUGUGCUGGUGGGCAGAAGGGGGUUUGGUCAUUCUUUCCUUCGAAGAGCUGAGAAGUUCUUUAAGACAGCAAACAGCUAGAUGGUUUGUUUGACUGGCCAGUCAUUCAUUCACUUAUUCAACUGAUAUUCACUGACACCUAUUACAUUCCAGGCACUGAAAGAGAACACAGGGCUGAUUCCUUGACCUUUUGCAGUUCAUAGUCUAGUGAGGAAUACGAAUAAUUACAAAGGUAAGAAGGGUCAUGGAAGGGUGGUAUGGAAGCAUGAAUUCUACUCACUCGUCCUCCAAAACUACCUUUCACUCUCCUCCGCUCGAAAGAGACCACAUCUUGAUGAAAUUAUUACAGCGUAUCACCAGGUAAUGCUGUGUUAUCUCAACUCUCGGGUUUAAAAGGGUGUUCCCUUUGGGCUCCACUUGAAGCAAAAAUAAAUGUAUUAGCAAGAGAGUAAUAAAAGUGCUCUGUGGAAGAGUCCUGGGCUCUUAUAUCAAGACAUAUGGGGUGGCAGGGGUGGGGAAGGUGGGGAGACAGGAGUGGGAGCAUGGAGCUUCCUCCUUUGCUAUGAACAAGUUGAGUGCUUGGCCAAGUCGCUUAACUUGUUAAGAUUUGAAUUGUCCAGUUUCUAAAAUGAAGGUGUUGGACCUGGUCAACAUCUCCCAAAGUGUUUCUCUUAAAACAGAAAUCCUGAGAAAAAUGAGUUUAGGAAAUGCAGCCCAAUCUUUGCUGCCCUUCACUCACCAUCCCGUGGGAAUUCAAAAUCACCUUAACAUAUUAAAGGUUUCGAGAGGUCCUAGAGUAAAAAGCCUGUUUAACUUUAUUUAACUCAGCGUUUCCCAGAUGUAUUUGCCUGGAGAUCCGAUUUUAUGUGAUACCUAUUAAUAUAGAAAUGUUAGCCUAGAUGUUCAUUGAAAAGCCAAUAAACAUUCAUUGAGUGCUUACUUGGUGCAAGGAAGUUACCUCUCGGGCUGUAUCACAUGAGUUUAUGAAUCUUAUGAUUUAAUCAAAUAAACAGUGGAGGUGGAGAUUUUUCUGUAGAUAGCACUUUCUAAUUAAUCUGUACACAGUUCCCAGGAGUGACUUCCUUCCUUCCAGAGGGCACUGUUUAGUAUCGUUAGUGGUUUUUCACAUCAGUGCCAAAUUUUUUCUUCACAUUGUACUGGAGUUCAAAUCAGAUUUAAUUCUUUACAUUAAUAUAUGAACAGUAGAGGGUAAGUGGUGUUGACCUUGUGGUGAUCCUAACUGCCCGGCAGAUCCUAGCUCAGAGGAUGGACCAGGCUUCAGAUGCACAAGACUUCUUUGGAAUGUUCAUGGAAACUUUAUUUACUCAUUGGUGCUUUCUUUGGUUUCUAGGUGCGUUGACAAUUUGGGUAAAAUUCGGUUAGUUUUGGGAAGGAGGCACUUUUAGUACGUAUUUCUUUUGUACAGCGGAUUAAAAACAAAAUCCCCAUCUGGUCAUCUGGUCAGCUCAAAAAUGUACUCAUUUCGUCUUCCGCCACUUUCACACGAAGGGGAAGGACAUCGUGUGUCUUUAAAAUGUUCUCCCAGGUGUCUUAUUCUGCAGAAACUUUAGGAAGAAAGACUCUUUUACAGCCCUCAGCACUGUUAUUGCGUGAACUGGCUCAGCAUGGCCGGCCCAGUGAAGGACGCCAGUGGUAGUAACCGGGGAAGAGGGAUCCCCUGGCUCUUCUUACCAAACUUCUUCGAUCGUUUGGAGUGGUUUGGCCAUCAGUUAGUCAGGAAGAGGCCAGAAGGACACGUGCUGAUAAUGCUUCAAGAAAGUUAAACUUUAGGAAAAACUCGACCGAAGUAAAAAUAGCUAUGUAGUCAGUGACCAAAGCUACUUGGAUGGUCCUGUUGAUUGCUCUUGUGCAUUUUAUCACACGAAUACAGGCUUUCCCCUAAAAGUUGAAAAUAAAGAAGGGAAAUGUGAUGAAUGGCAUAUAUUACCUCCAGAGAGCCUAAACUCUCAUGCAUUAAAAGUUAGUAUCUGCCAGGGAUCGUCCUCAAUAUUUAUGACCCACUCUGGCAUUAAGAGUGUGACACGCAGAAGGCCGUCUUCAUUAGAGGCUGGCUAAAUAACUAUUGGAAGCUUGUUACCUGGUGCUUAUCAGAGCACACUUCGUGAAAUAGUUAUGUACACUCUUGUUCCUCCUCCCCUGACUAGACUGCACACUCACGGGCUGGGUCUGGCACAGAGGCUGCCCUUUUCAAAUGCUUUGAUUAAGAGGUCCUAGUUCUGCUCUGGUAAUUUUGGGAGGAGAAAGCUUUAGACCAGCCACAAUGUCUCCAUUUGUCCAGUUUUAAAUCUAGGAUGUGAUAAUCGUAGCCAACAUUCCUUGAGAUCUUAUUCAAUACAAAGCAUUGUAUUAGGAGCCACAUUAAAGAAAUACACGUAUAUAAUAUGAAAAGUCACAUAGAACUAGAAGGUUUAUAAUGAAAAAUAGCAAUCCCUUUUCCAG